rnacentral:rRNA from 1 species
UACAGAGGUCUCAAGCGUUGUUCGGAUUCAUUGGGCGUAAAGGGUGCGUAGGCGGCGCGGUAAGUCGGGUGUGAAAUCUCGGAGCUUAACUCCGAAACUGCAUUCGAUACUGCCGUGCUUGAGGACUGGAGAGGAGACUGGAAUUUACGGUGUAGCGGUGAAAUGCGUAGAUAUCAGGAAGAACCCCCGUGGCGAAGGCGGCUCUCUGGGACGGUACUGACGCUGAGACGCGAAAGCGUGGGGAGCGAACAGG